rnacentral:rRNA from 1 species
UACGAAGGGUGCAAGCGUUAAUCGGAAUUACUGGGCGUAAAGCGUGCGCAGGCGGUUUUGUAAGCCAGGUGUGAAAUCCCCGGGCUCAACCUGGGAAUGGCAUUUGGGACUGCAAGGCUGGAGUGCGGCAGAGGAGACUGGAAUUCCUGGUGUAGCAGUGAAAUGCGUAGAUAUCAGGAGGAAUACCGAUGGCGAAGGCAGGUCUCUGGGCUGACACUGACGCUCAUGCACGAAAGCGUGGGGAGCAAACAGG